rfam:Dipodomys ordii contig_33611, whole genome shotgun sequence.
UGGAAAGGGGCUCAGUGGUAGAGUGCUUGCCUCCCAUGCAUGAAGCCCUGGGUUCAAUUCCUCAGCAUCACAU